UGGGGAAUAUUGGGCAAUGGGCGCAAGCCUGACCCAGCAAUGCCGCGUGGGUGAAGAAGGUCUUCGGAUUGUAAAGCCCUUUCGGCGGGGACGAUGAUGACGGUACCCGCAGAAGAAGCCCCGGCUAACUUCGUGCCAGCAGCCGCGGUAAUACGAAGGGGGCUAGCGUUGCUCGGAAUUACUGGGCGUAAAGGGCGCGUAGGCGGCUCUGUUAGUCAGGCGUGAAAUUCCUGGGCUCAACCUGGGGACUGCGCUUGAUACGGCAGGGCUAGAGGACGGAAGAGGCUCGCGGAAUUCCCAGUGUAGAGGUGAAAUUCGUAGAUAUUGGGAAGAACACCGGUGGCGAAGGCGGCGAGCUGGUCCGUUACUGACGCUGAGGCGCGACAGCGUGGGGAGCAAACAGG
rnacentral:rRNA from 1 species